AUGUUCUCGAUUGUGAUGCCCAAGCCUGUCUGCCGCAAUUGUGUGUUCGUUACUGCUGAGAAAAAGGACUCACGGGUGGACAUCUGCUAUAAAUUACCUAGGCCUGGUCAUCUGCGUGAGUUGCAUCUGUCAUUUUUCUUCCCAGGAGAGGCCAGGCUGUGGCAGCCGCGGUCGUGGCGUCAUGCACGUGGCAUCGACGCAGGUGAGAAUACAUCUAUGGUAGUCUCGUGGGCCGAGCGUCAAGGUGAUGGUAGCCGACCCUCCACGCCCCCUCUAGGGAUGGGAAGUGGCGGGCAGAGUACCUCCCCCGCGCAUGUCAGAGUUGCAAACACUUUCAAUUUCAACUGUGUGGUGAUCAGGACAUUCUGUGUUGCUUGGACAACCGAGCUAAGACGGCGAUGCCACCACCUACUUGUAUCUGUACAGGACCUCCGAUGA
rnacentral:rRNA from 1 species